rnacentral:rRNA from 1 species
UACGUAGGGCGCAAGCGUUGUCCGGAAUUAUUGGGCGUAAAGAGCUCGUAGGUGGCGUGUCGCGUCUGCCGUGAAAGCCCAUGGCUUAACUGUGGGUCUGCGGUGGAUACGGGCAGGCUGGAGGCUGGUAGGGGUAAGCGGAACUGAUGGUGGAGCGGUGAAAUGCGUAGAUAUCGGAAGGAACGCCGGUGGCGAAAGCGGGUCUCUGGGCCGAUACUGACGCUGAGGAGCGAAAGCGUGGGAGCGAACAGG